UCAUGCUGAGCGCAGAGGACGCAGAGCAGUACAGUAGGCGAUUGACUUAAACGAUCAGGGGUGGAUUCAUGGAAGUGGUUCCCAAAGGGCAUGGUAUGUUAGUACAAUAAAGACCAAAGUUGUAUAGAUAGGAACAAGGCUCUCCUGUAGACAAGAUUGUUAAGUUCACAGUAGCUACGUAGCUUACAAAAAUAAGGAAAAG